rnacentral:lncRNA from 12 species
AUGUUUGACAAACAGGUAAACACAUGUAUGGAAGUCACAAUGUUUUUUUCUAGUCCACAGAAUAUGACUAGAGUGCAAGGGAGUUCAAGAACCUUUCAUGAUGUCUCCAUGUCUCCCCGGGGUCUGGAGUCUACAGUUUGGAAAUCAUUGCUGGAGUCUCUUGUAUCCUGGAUCCAGGCCCGGCUUUCUCUCAACAGUGCUGUCCAGAUGGAGAGCCACGGAAAGCUUUCAAACAGGGGAACCGUGAUGGAAAUAAUUAUUCCACGUCUAUUUCAGUCUUCAAGUCAUGGCAGAGACAAAAGCUUUGGCAACUGAAUAACACCCUGAACAAUAAUCCACUGUUGGGUUUCCUGGCUCUAUCAUACAUCAGUGGACAGUCAUGGGCAAGUUCCUGAACUUCUCCGAGCCUCAGGCUUUCUUAUCUCUAAGUGGGUAAGUUCAUGUGUGCCUUGGGGGACUGCUAUAAGGAUUAAAGGAAGGAACUGCGCGUAACUAGCUAGGGAACAGAGAAGCCCAGCAGCAAAUUUUAGUUACCAUUUCUUUCUUUUUUAAAAAGAUUUUAUUUAUUUAUUCAUAAGAAACACACAGAGAGAGGCAGAGACAUAGGCAGAGGGAGAAGCAGGCUCUCUGUGGGGAGCCUGAUGCAGUACUCUAUCCCAGAACCCCCGAGAUCACACGACCUGAGCCAAAGGCAGACGCUCAACCACUGAGCCACCCAGGUGUUCCACAAACGUUAGGUACCUUUUCUAUAGAAACAGGAGGAUAGGGCAGCCUGAGUGGCUCAGUGGUUUAGUACCGCCUUUGGCCCAGGGCGUGAUCCUGGGGACCCAAGAUCAAGUCCCACAUUGGGCUCCCUGCAUGGAGCUUGCUUCUCCUUCUGCCUGUGUCUCUGCCUCUCUCUCUCUCUGUGACUCUCAUGAAUAAAAUAAAUAAAAUCUUAAAAAAAAAAAGAAAC